CCAAAAAUUUUCACUUCAGUUUCCCACUUUUAUUUAAUUCUCACACUGCAAUAAUAUGAAUUAAUUAUAUUUUCUUUAUCAAUUCCCCAAAUAUAUGAAGUGACAAAAAAAAAAUCCAAGACACAAAAAUGGAAAUUGAGAUCUAUUCCUAAUCCCUCCGCCGUCGAAGAAGCAUUUGGCGCAACUCUCCUUCAAACUCUCGUUGUCGUCGAAGAACAACUCUCCUUCAAUCUCUUGUCGCGCAUCUCUCCUCUCCGUUGCCGUUGAAAAAAACUAAACUGAAACCCUAAAAUUGUGCCUCUCUUCCUUCUCCCAGCGACUCAAUCUUCUUCUUCUUCUCUGCCGGGAGUCUAUUUGCCACUUUCGUCUAUUCACCGGUCACAAUCUUUAUUCUAUUUUAGUAACUAUUAAAUUCCUCAUCCUCUUUCAGGAAACCACCUACCGCCACCCACCGUCGAGCACCACCCGCCAUAAAGAGAUGUCGUGACGUGAUAUGACGGAGACCGAAUUUGUGGUAGCACUAGGUUCACAGGUCUUUGGUUCUGGGACUCUGUUCCCCUCUUUCUCCGUUUCAACUCUUUUCGGAUAUCUUUCACAGUCCUAGCUUCCUUGUCAUAAUUUGAGGGAGUUAAUCAGGGUUGGUCCUAUUUGUUCAAAUGUUUAUCUAUAAUUCAAAGCAAAACAACAAUGCCUUUCCAGAAUGCUGGUUUUAGGUGCAGACGGAAUCCUGGUGUUUUUAAAGUCAUUAUUUCAAAACAACAAUGCCUAUUAUGAUUACUCCUACAACCUUGCAGAAGUUGGCUUACCCUGAAGAAGAAUAUGCCACUGCUAGAGCAGCAUCAACAGCUGACGCCAUCAUGGUUUGAUUUGCAUCAAAUAUCUUGUGUGACCUCAUCUCUCUCGCUUUCCGUCUUUUCUAAUGAACACACAUGUUGUAUUCAGUGUUCAGCUCAUUUGUGAUCUCUAUGGAAGGAAAUGCUUCAGAAACACUUUACAAGUUGUUAAUGAUGAUAUGGAAGUGCAACUUGUAAAAGGGAUGCUUAGUAAGUUAUCCAGACAUGUAGUAAUCAACACUAUGCAAACGCCGUCGUCACGAGAGAAUUUAUGUUUGCCACAAUUUUGUCUUACAAAUUAUGUUUGGUUUUGAUAGUUUUAUGGUGUAGACUUUACUUUCGAUUUGUUAGACAUAUACUUGGUUUUUUUUCUUAGUGUUGUUGUAUGACAUAAUGGUUGUCACUUUUAAGAUUCCCAAAAUUCAGUUUCACACUACGUUUAAUUUGUUUGUGGGUUGAGAUAUUGUGUUUGUCACUUUGUAUAUAUAUGACUAUGACUAUUGUUUUAUGGAUCUUUGUGGUGGGAGAGAAUUUUACUA